UACGGGGGGGGCAAGCGUUGUUCGGAAUUACUGGGCGUAAAGGGCUCGUAGGUGGCCAACUAAGUCGGACGUGAAAUCCCUCAGCUUAACUGGGGAACUGCGUCCGAUACUGGAUGGCUCGAGUUUGGGAGAGGGAUGCGGAAUUCCAGGUGUAGCGGUGAAAUGCGUAGAUAUCUGGAGGAACACCCAUGGCGAAGGCAGCAAACUGGGCAUCAACUGACGCUGAGGCGCGAAAGCGUGGGUAGCAAACAGG
rnacentral:rRNA from 1 species